AGGGCAUCUCGGCCUUUUGGCUAAGAUCAAGUGUAGUAUCUGUUCUUAUCAGUUGAGGUCAGACACCAGCCUCACUGGUGGAAUGAAGAAACACUUGAUCCUCU
ensembl:snRNA U2 U2 spliceosomal RNA